GGCCUGAUAGUUCAGUGGUAGAAUUCUUGCUUUGGGUUGUCCAGUCCAAAUUGUAAGAGGUCUCCGGUUCAAUCCCGGAUUAGGCCC
rnacentral:tRNA from 1 species